AAAUUCAUCUCUGCAUCUGUCUUGAGGCAAUUUAGAUGUUCUAGGGUCCCAGUGAUUCUCUCUUGGAUCAUUUGCUCUGGGGAAGUCGAUGGCCAUGUCAUGAGGACACUCACUUAAGUAGCCCUAUGAAGAAGUCCACAUGGGGCGGAUCUGAGCCUCCUGCCAACAGCCAGUACAACUUGCCAACUAUCAGAAUGAGCCAGCUUGUAGUAAAUCCUCCAUCCCUAGACAAGCCUUCAAAUAACUACCACCCUGGCUGCCACCCUGACUGCCACCUCAUGAAAUACCCAAACCAGAACCACCCCAACUAAGCUGCUCCUGAAUUGCUGACUACAGAAACUGUAUGAAAAAAUAAAUGUUUACUUCUGUUUUAAGACAA
rnacentral:lncRNA from 1 species